rnacentral:sRNA from 1 species
AUCAACUUUCGAUGGUAGGAUAGAGGCCUACCAUGGCUUCAACGGGUAACGGGGAAUAAGGGUUCGAUUCCGGAGAGGGAGCCUGAGAAACGGCUACCACAUCCAAGGAAGGCAGCAGGCGCGCAAAUUACCCAAUCCCGACACGGGGAGGUAGUGACAAUAAAUAACAAUAUAGGGCUCUUUCGGGUCUUAUAAUUGGAAUGAGUACAAUUUAAAUCCCUUAACGAGGAACAAUUGGAGGGCAAGUCUGGUGCCAGCAGCCGCGGUAAUUCCAGCUCCAAUAGCGUAUAUUAAAGUUGUUGCAGUUAAAAAGCUCGUAGUUGAACCUCAGACCUGGCCGGGCGGUCCGCUUAACGGCGUGUACUGUCUGGCUGGGCCUUACCUCUUGGUGAGCCGGCGUGCCCUUUAUUGGUGUGCGUCGGGGAACCAGGACUUUUACCUUGAGAAAAUUAGAGUGUUCAAAGCAGGCCUAUGCCCGAAUACAUUAGCAUGGAAUAAUAAAAUAGGACGUGCGGUUCUAUUUUGUUGGUUUCUAGAGUCGCCGUAAUGAUUAAUAGGGAUAGUUGGGGGCAUUAGUAUUCAAUUGUCAGAGGUGAAAUUCUUGGAUUUAUUGAAGACUAACUACUGCGAAAGCAUUUGCCAAGGAUGUUUUCAUUAAUCAAGAACGAAAGUUAGGGGAUCGAAGACGAUCAGAUACCGUCGUAGUCUUAACCAUAAACUAUGCCGACUAGGGAUCGGAUGAUGUUAAUUUUUUAAUGACUCAUUCGGCGCCUUACGGGAAACCAAAGUGUUUGGGUUC